GACGUAGGGGGCGAGCGUUAUCCGGAUUCACUGGGCGUAAAGGGCGCGCAGGCGGCUACGUAAGUCCGGCGUGAAAUCCCAUGGCUUAACUGUGGAACUGCGUCGGAUACUGCGUUGGCUUGAGGAUGGUAGAGGCCAUUAGAACUAGCGGUGUAGCGGUGAAAUGCGCAGAUAUCGCUAGGAAUGCCGGUGGCGAAGGCGGAUGGCUGGGCCACUCCUGACGCUGAGGCGCGAAAGCUAGGGGAGCGAACCGG
rnacentral:rRNA from 1 species